rnacentral:tRNA from 1 species
UGCAUCGGCCGGGAAUCGAACCCGGGCCGCCCGCGUGGCAGCGGCAUUCUACCACUGAACCACCGAUGG